rnacentral:rRNA from 1 species
AGUGUAGGCGGCUUCGUAAGUCGGAUGUGAAAGCCCCGGGCUUAACCUGGGAAUGCCAUUCGAUACUGCGCGGCUAGAGUUUGAUAGAGGGAAGUGGAAUUCCAGGUGUAGCGGUGAAAUGCGUAGAUAUCUGGAGGAACAUCAGUGGCGAAGGCGGCUUCCUGGAUCAAAACUGACGCUGAGGCUCGAAAGCGUGGGGAGCAAACA